AGUGGUUCUCAGGUGAUGCACCCCGGAAUUGGGCUCCCUCCUCUCUGGUUCUGGGGUGCAUCACCAGAAAACUGCC
rfam:Myotis brandtii contig170722, whole genome shotgun sequence.